ACGACCUUAUUUGAACAGGAUCUGUUCUAUAGGUUCGUACUUCUGUAUCCUUAAGUUCUAAGGAGACAGGAUUUCAAGUCUGGUUGAAGAAUUAAGACUGUGAGAUCAGAGCGUAAUUAGUGGUCUGGUGAUCCUGUUCGGAUAACCGUGACCGUGAAGGAUCGUUCCCUUCCAGUCUUCGCCUGGAUGGGAUGGUCACACAGUUGUCUGACAGGCU
rnacentral:snoRNA from 2 species